AAAAAAAAAAGGUUUCGGGAGGCCUCGGUGCCUUCCGAAUUUUUUUUCGAAAGGGAGUGGUCCCGGCCGGAAGCUCGUUUCGGCAAGGACUAGUGCCGGCCGGAAUGAGCCUCCAGCCCGGACCCCUCCCUUCCGAAAUUUUUUUUAGGGUUUUAUGGGUUAAAGUUUUAGGGUUUAACGUUUAUGAUUUAGAGUUUUAGAAUUUAGAGUCUAGGGUUUUAUGGUUUCGGAGUUCUAAGGUUAUAGGGUUUUAGGUUUAGAGUUAAGGGUUUAGAGUUUAGAGUUUAGGGUUUAGGAUUUAGGGUCCUAAGGGUUUAGGGUUUUAGAAUUUAGGGUUUGAGGGUUUAGGGUUAUAGGUACUAAAGUAAGGGUUUAGCAUUUAGAGUUUAAGGUUAAGCAUUUUAUGAUUUAGAGUUCUAGAGUUAAGGAUUUAGGGUUUAGCGUUUUAUGAUUUAGAGUUCUAGAGUUAAUGGUUUAGGGUUUUAGAAUUUAGAGUUUAGGGUUUGAUGGUUNNNNNNNNNNNNNNNNNNNNAUUUAGGAUACUAAAGUUAGGGUUUAGCGUUUAGAGUUUAAGGUUAAGCGUUUUAUGAUUUAGAGUUCUAGGGUUAAGGGUUUAGGGUUUAGCGUUUUAUGAUUUAGAGUUUCGGCAUAUACGAAAGUUCCGACGGAGGACCACUCGGCGGGCUUGAUCGAAAAAAUCGGCCGGCCGGGGCUCCCUUCGGCCGAAAUGACCUUUCGGCCGGGGCCUCUUGCGCCCGAUUUUUUCGAUCGAGUCCGAUUUGUAUUCACCGAAUUGUAAGGAAAAACGUACCGUGGGAGGUUUUCGAAAUAAAUAUUUUGAUAGUUUCGUCGGUACAACGUUUCUCGAAUUAUAAAGUUUGAUAGUUUCGUCGAUACAAAGUUUUUCGAAUUAGUAAAUUUAGAUAGUUUCGUCUUUACGAAAUUUAGGGCGUCAUAUAAUUCAAAAAUUAGGGCGUCAAAUAGUAGUCCCCUUUGUAAAAUGAUGCAUCUGUGGAGAGAGAAAGGGAGAGAAGCUAGGUUUUCGAUGCAUUUAAAUACUGAUGUUCUAAGCCAUUAGAAAUAAUUUUUUAAAAUCAGAUGAUUUCUAUUGUCUUUUUAUAGGUAAUCCAGACUAUCUAUUUUCAAUAUUUGGUGUGUUGUCGAUUCAUCUCCUACAGAAUCGGUUCACCGCUCCAACCGACUCGCCCAACCCCUCUCUUUCCAAAGCUAAAUAAUGUCGUUUGAGACCCAACCCCACAACGGUCAACAAAGAAGUUAAUGCUAAAUGCGAUUUUAUUGGGGCUGAUAUCUAAAAGCUUGUGUGUGGGGCCAACUCAGUUGGACAGAUUAAUUUUAAUAAUAAGCCAUCAAACUGUUCUUCACUCGCUUCAAAUUAAAUUUGCAUGCAACCAAUCCGCAUUACAAAACCCAAUUGUCUCAGGUUUCCAAUUAGUAGAGAUGAUAGAGUCAUACAAAGGAUGAGUAGUCUACAUAGAGAAUAAUUUAAAUGGUAUGGAUAAAUUCGUGAUAAUGCAAGCGAGAGUGGUCGAAACUAUAUUAAAUUUAACUGUCUUGACACAGGAGUAAAAUUCUUGUGAAAUUGAUUUAAAUUCUUUAGAGCCCGAUCCAGGUUUAAGAAAAAUAAUUUCUUCAUUUCAUCUAAAUGAUUCAUAUGCGAUUAGAAGAUUUUAUCUUUAAAGAAGAUCAUGUCAAUCUUGAGGGCAUAGUUUUCUAGUUAGAGAUACUUGUUAAAGAAAUCAAAGGUUCAAUCCUGCAUGGUUUGAUUAAUAUGAUUAGUUAAAGUAUAGUAUUAAGAAAGAUGUUGCAUACUGUUUGAUGUGUGAUUCAUACAGAAAUGAAAUCAUUAAGAAGAGUGGUGGUGAAACUUUCAUUGGUGAUGGCUUUAUCUUUUGGAGCAAGAAGGACAGACUUGAUAUCCACAUUAAUAAAAGUGUUCAUAGCGAUCACAAUAUAACUUCAAGAAAGUGUGUAGACUUGAUGAAGCAGGCACAAAGUAUUAGAGUUUCAUUAUUCAAGCAAUCAAACCAAACCAAGAAGGAUUACAAGAUUCAUUCAGAAGCUUCAAUUGAUUGUAUCAUGUAGCUUUUAAAAAUGGUUUAGCACUAUGUGAACAUGACGAGUCAGAAUCUUCAAAGAGAAAAGGUAACUUUUUUUAACUUCUCGAGUUUUAUGUUCGUGGCAAGAGCAUCUAGAAAAUGUUGUCUUGAAAACAUCCCCAAAAGAAUCUUCAAAGACUUCCCUAGAUGUGCAAAAAAAUAUUGUUAAUGCAAUAGCAACCGAAAUAACUAAGGCAAUCAUAAAAGAUCCUGGAGAUGAUCUUUUUACCGUAUUAGUGGAUGAGGCUAGUAAUGUUCAUGAUAAAGAGUAAAUUGCUAGAGUUUUGCGCUAUUUGGGUUCAAUGUCGUGGAUGGGUAGUUGGUCAUGUCUUGGGGACUUGUAAACAUUCUAGGUUGAACCCUAUAAUGUGUAGACUCCUCCUUGUGUGAAAAAACCGAGUAUUUUGUGCUAAAUUAUGUGCGAGGGCCACUAUUGGGACAGCCUCGAUGUGGCUGGCCCUAGUGGCCUCAGUUGAGUUGUGGCUGUGAUUGCUCUGGUGGACUUGGUGGCCCUGUUGGUGGCUGAUGGGCUGAACCUAAGACGAUGACUUGUGUCAGGGCCACCCAUCCCCCGAUGGCCUUGUUAGGCCUCUCCACUGAGGCCCCUCAUCGGUAGUCUCCGGGUGGAGUUUCUAUUGCUCCAGCAAAUUAAUGUCCCCAUGCUUUCCAUGUUCACGUGUUUUAUUGCUCAUCCUCAACCUCUGAAUGCUUGGGGGUGCCACCUAAUGGCGCGCAGGCAGCCUUCAUUUCAUAAUCCUUGAUGUUGUUAUGGUCCUCUCAUUACAUGGCCUUCCUUUAUAAGAGAAUCAUUCGAGCGCUAAAAAAUAACCUAACUAUCGAAGUAACUAGGUUCAAAUUCUCUAGGGUCUCAAGGUUGCAUUUACUAGUGAUGUAUGUAAUAGUCGGGUUAUCAAGUUUUGUGGUUUAGGUGCCACGAUUAUCAAAUUAUCAAUUUAAACUAAGCAAUUAAAGGACAAUGAACUAAGAUUGUAAGACUACACAAUUAGAGGUUUUAAUCAGGUCGGGAUGAAAUCACCCUAGGCUAUCCAGACAAACAAACAAUAGUCAACUCCUCCAUGCAAAAUAGGAUACCCACAAUUUAUCAUCGCAAUUCUUCUCUACUCGAAUUACGCUCUUUCGGGACCGCUAACUUAACUACCAAUCCUAGUAUCUCAGCAUGCUCAAUCGAGACGAGAUGUAAAACCUAUACAGUGAUUUACUAGAAGAGAAUUGCUCUCACGAUGGACUAGACUAAUCGGCCCCUUCCGAGGGUUAAUGACUAACCUAGUUGAUUAAUGUUCUAAGAUAAACAAGUUCUUUGAAGUCUAUACAAAUCUAACGAGAUUGUAUUCAAGUUGAUCAAAAAAGAACAAGAACAUAAACGAAAUUAAUUAUAAAUUGAAAUCCAUCCAACUCGCAUAAAUCUUUGAAGUCAAAUAAUCAUUUGUUUAUCUAGUAUCACCUAGGGAUCAUCUAUUCUAAGCACAAAGAAGUUUAGCUACUCAUGAGAUCGAAAAACAAAUCAGAUCCAACAAAGGAAAACAUUGAAACUAGGUUACAAACAUAAAUCUGAAAAACCUAAUUUCACCAAAGAACUUUGAAACACUUUAUUCGUCAAUCUUGAUUAUGUCUUCUGAUCCGAGCACCUUAAAUUUGAUGUAUUCUCGUCGAUCUAAAGUCUCAUUUUUUUCCAAAAGGGUCUGUUGAAAGAAUGAAGUACCAGUCUUUUUAUAGGUGAGAAAUCCUAAAGUAUGGCAGUCGUCAUAAUAUCAGUUGAAGCCCUCAUAGUGUGCGUCGCACAUUACGAUGGGGCUUCAGCGCAUAUUAGACCCAAAACUCAAAACUCAUCUUUUCCGUCGGUGUAAUCUGCACUAUAGACAGGUCUAAUGUGUGUCACACAUUACAACCAUCUUAGGCGCAUAUUACACUCAUCUUCAUAACUUUGUGUAUUCUUCAUCUUUCUCAUCCGUUCAUCUCAUCCACGCAUGUUGUAUUGUUUUGAUUAAUGUUUCAUCAUCAUCAUGUACCUAAAAUCUAACAAAAACACUCUAAAAUGAAAUCAAAUGGACCCCGAACAAGUCCAAGAUAAUAAAUCGAGAUAAAAGCUAAGAAUGCAUAAAACAACCAAAACUUCUACCCAAAGCUAUAGAAUUAUGCAUGGAGUGUUGCUUAAAUGAGGGCGAUGAACGCGAUGAAUCAAGCGUCAUCAAGUAACCCCCCACUUAAACUUUACUUGCCCUUAAGCAAAAAGCUUACAAUAGUCAUCAAACAUGUACAUCCAUAUGUACAUCUAUAACUGAUUCAACAUACUUGGAAAAAUUCUUCGUGAAACCAUAUUCCUCAAUUUAUCCCUAAGCUCUAAACAUAUAAGUGAACCUGUAGCAACAUAUCCAAUCUAUGAAAUAAAGGCCUCAUAAGAAGUUAUCAAACUUGCAACACAUCAUAAUGCACAUUAGACUACCCAUCUAGACUUCUCACCGGAUGCACAGCUUGAAGAUGAAGUUGAGAAACACUCACUCUCAAUGUUCAGGGACGAUGUUUAUUCACUCAUUCAUCUUUCUGUGGCGAGCUUCUAACACUUGAACGUAAAUAAAAUUUACAAUUACAUCAAGACAGUUUCAUAGAAGUCAAGAGGUCUUUUAUUGGGGUUGUAAUGUGGACAUAAUAGAAUAAAAGGGAAAAAGAAAUAUAUGAUGGUGUACACAUAGUAGUAGAUGACUCGGUCUACUCUAAAUACCUACAAUGUCGAUGCACUAUGCAAGGAUAUGAUUACAUCUAAGAGCUUAACUAGCUCGUCUAUCCUUUGAAAUUAAACUACUUAGAACUUUUCUGCUAUAUUUAUUCUUCUAGCUGUCACAUUUUUUUUUUCAUUUUUUUGCUUUUUCUUUUUUUGCUGAGACUGACUUUUUUACAAUUUGUCACCAUCCUUUUUUAGUUUUUUUCAUCAUUUGUUCUAUUUUUCUCGAAAUGAAAUACAACUAUACAUGAAUUAAUACAAAGGGAGACUAGAUAAUCCUGGAUUUUCUACACUUGAUAACUUCUACACUCCUAAACUUGACCAAAUUACAUGUCACAUAUGUACAUAAUUAUCAAUUGAUGGCUUGAAAGAAAUGGGAUACAGUAAAAUGACGGGGACAGAGAAAGAUUGUAUGGCUAUGAAUUGGUUAUGCCUAAGGGGGGUAGGACGGAAUGGAUAUUUAUGGGUGGAGCUUUUUAAAUGCCUCUAUCAUUCAAGUGUGUCACUACCGAGCAAGUUUAAUUUGGUAUCAUACAAGCAAUAAAUUAACAACCAACAAAGAAGACCAUUCAAAUUAAUUUAAGAACAAAUCUGAUGGUGAAGUAGAUUAUAUAUACUACAAAAUGAUCUUUUAGGCCUUGCAUUAUCUUGCUAGAUGGUAUAUCGUUAAUAUGCAUGCCCAAUCACGUCAAUUUGGAGAUUUCAAGCUACUAUAAACAAAUCAAAGUAGCUUUGAAAAAAAUAUCAAUAGACUUUGAUCACUGGCCUAAAUUCCUAUCAAAUCUAGGUUUUCAAACAAGUUAGCAAUUCAAGUAAACAAAUUAGUGGGAAAUUCACUAACCAUGCCAAGCAUUUGAUUCAAAGAUGCUUCCAUAAUGGCUUGAGUUUACAAAUGCAAUGUAGACACAACUACCCAACAAUACUAGCUGACUAGCAUCCUAUGCUUACCCACCCCAUACUUAGUUUGGACAGUGACCUCACUGAACGAAACAUAAAAGUAGCGUAGGAAUGCCUGGAAGCUGUGAAACACCAGAGAAGCAAGAGAACAUGAUCCAUGAACCUCAAGCCUAAAGGUGACGCUAACUCCUAAAAAUAAACAAACACACAAAAUCAAAAUUAAAAGUAAGAAGGAACAAGGACAAGUGCAUGAGUCCAACAUAGAAGAAAACUGGAUUUAAGAUCCAAAAAGAAAGAAAGAAAUGAAAAGUCCUUGGAGAAUCGAGGGAACCUGGUCACUGGUCUCGUUGAGGAGGUAAAAGUGCUGGGUAAUCCAACCUGGUCUGAUAGCAAGUGAGGUAGCAGAGGUACCUAAUUUGCUCCGUGUAGUGCUCCUGCUCCCUCCUAUGUUGCUUCUCUAAAUGGUAGCUCCUAUAAUGGAAGAGGCUGCUGAAAGUCCUGAAUUGUUGACAUCUCCUGAUCUACCUAAGCAGUAGCUGCUCACGGUCUGUGUCCUCUAUGACUGUGACCUUUAUCGUGACCCUUUCCCUGUCCCUGCUGAGCAAUCGGUGCAUCAUAACGUGCAUGUCGCUCAUAUGGUCUCUGGAUCAAUCAGUGGAAGGUCGAGAUCGGCUCCAAGCCACUUUGUCUCAGGUGCAGGAGGUUGAGCUACUCCAUCCCACCUAUUCUAGAGGCCCUUGUUAUGGAUAAUCAAAUAGACAAACAACCACGUGGGAGGGCCGCCAACAUUGCAUUCUGGCGAGUGUGGAAGAACAUCACGACAAACCAACCGAUGUGGAGGGAUCGUUGUUAUCUAAUCGAUCCUUAAGGAUGUGGUGGGAACCGCGCUCCUCCUUAUCCCUGUAGGCGAGACCAUAAAGCCAGAGCAAGUGGAAAAACUGAGCCAUUGGGUCGGGGAUAUGGGUGUAGGAGGACUCAGAUGUGUUGAACAUAACGUUUGAGUCAGGGUUGUUGGUAAUCUUCUCCAUAAUGCUCGGACCUCAUCCCAGAUAGUACUGUUGCAUGUCCUGCACAUGUAUUUGUUAGGGAACGUGUGCCAUCAAAGGUGUUUCCUCAUUUUCAGAAGACGAAGAGUCAGAACUUGGUGGGUUUGGAGAAGGAUGUUGGGUUUGGCUAGAGGAACCACAGGUGAGUAGACGUCCACGCUUUCUGCCACCAAAAACAGUUCAUAACAUAAACACAACAAAGGCCGCUCUACAGUUAUCUCAUCAACACAAUGCAACCACCUUUUUCAUCACAAUUCAUAUUUCUAAGCACAAAUGUCGAAUGACGACUCCAAAAAGGUUAAUAACACAAUGAAGUCAUAAUCCACCACCAAAAAACCAUCACAAGUCCCAAUUCAUCAUUCCAGACGCAAGUGCAUUCAUCAUGGCAAUUUCUGAAAAAAUACACUAAGGCCUCGUUUGGUAUGGGUGGUAUCUACUAUGAUAUCACCCAAUAUCAUGGUAUUCGAGAUAUCUCCGUGUCUCGGAGCGUGAAUACCAUGAUAUUCGAAGAUAUCAAUAUCGCAAAAAAUGUGAUAUUGAAUAUCCUCCGAAAAGACGGGUAUUGAAUAUCACUUCCAAUAUCACUUUGGCCUGUCACAAUUGCCCCUCUAGUUUGUAGAAAUUACAUGCCACGUCUCUUAAAUGUGUCCCUCUAUGUCAUCUUCUCUACUUUCUUUUGACAUAAAAAAAACAACGCAUAACACCCUCUUUCUUCUCUUUUGAGUGGAGGAAAUUGAAUCCAAUAAUUAUGUGGAAGGAAAUUGAAUACAAAUUAGAAGUUGGUUUUGAUUUUUUUGAGUUGCGGAGUUGGGGAAAACAAAGGAGGAGCAAAGGAAAAAAUCUACUAAGCAGUCAUUGAUAAAACUGUACGGUGCAUACUCCUAUGCUUCUAUCCCUCAAAAUCUGCAGAUAUAUAUGUGGAGGGGACAUGAGCAGUCACCAAGAUAUCAUUAUCUUCCUUAAGUUCCAACUCUAUCAAUAAUUAAAAGAGACAUGAAGGCAACAAAACUUUUGGGUUCUUGAAGAAGUUAGAGAAGAAAGAGAGUGAAUGGAAGGAAUUAUGUAGCGAGGGCAAUAGUGUAAUUGGAAAUAUACCCCUCAAUAUCACAUACCAAAUAUGCAUUUCUAAUUUACUCUACAAUAUAUCAAUAUCGUUCAAUAUCGCGAUAUCUCGACAAUCAUUAUAUUCAAGUUAUCGUGUAUACGAAACGAGGCCUAAGACUAUCAAUCAAAAUUCAUCUUUUCAUCCAGCAAAACUCAUCCAAUCAAGGUGAAAAUACUACCACAAUACUCCUACCAUACCAAAUUUCUUCAUUACACAAUCAAUGUUGAAAACCCUCAACUUCAAAAAAUUAAGGUUCAUCCUAUCAAGAUCAAUUCAUUCAAUUGGUAAAAUCAGGGCAAUGAAAGCAUUCAAAUGAAGGAGUGAUGACGUUCGAGUUACCAUGUUUAUCGUCUCCAUUUAACCGAUAUUUCAUGCAUAAUUGUAUUACUUUGAGUAGAAGAUUAUGAUGUUUAUGUAUUUUAAUCUAAUAUCUCAAUUUAUUAUCUUGGACCCGAUCGGGGUCCAUUUGAUGUCCUUUUGGAUUUUUUUAUAGAUUUCAGGUGCAUAACAACAUCAAGAUAUUCAUUAGAGAAACGCGACGUGUGUGUAUGGUCUAAAACAAGAAAGAUGAAGCAUUUGGACAUAUCGGGACAACUUAAGAAGUCCAAGAAGCACAAGAUCUCAACUUGAAAAGAAAAUGACAGUUUAGUACUUUGGUCAUAAGUCCUUGCUUAGAAGUCUGAUUUAUGCAGGGACUGCGGCAUUUGAAAGCUAUUUCAAUUUAAUACAACUUUGGUACAAUUACCUUCGGCCAUACCUGUCGAGAUAUAGGUCUAAAACUGUCGACAACAGAGCAGCGCGGCCGUCACAGGUGCAAAAUGUCAAACUCCUUUACCAACAAGGAACUAUUUUCCUAUUUAAAGAAUAUUCUUUCAUUCUUUGAUGGGGAGAUCACUUUCGACGAAAUUUGGGACAGAGAAUCCUUAUGGCACUUGGAUCGGCGACGACGUUAUCUAGAUCGACGAAUCGUUUUCUUCAACAAAACUCGGCGGAAUUAGGUUUUUGAGAUUUCUUCUUACGAAUCUGAUUUCAAUGUUUUCCUUUGUUGAUUUUGACUUGUUCUACAUCAGUAGCUCAACUCCUCAUUUCAUAGAAUAUAUGAACCCCAAGUUAUUCUCGAUGAACAAAUGAUACAUUAAUUAUUUUGGUUUAUGCAAGUUUGAUGCAUUUCAGUUUAUGAUUGAUUUUGAUUGGGUUCUUGUUCUUGCCUGACCAUGUUGAAUAGGUUCUUAUUAGAUAUUUGAGCGACUCGAAAGAGCUUGCUUAUCUUAGAACAUCGAAACCUAUCAAUUAGGUUAGUCCUUAAUCCAAAUAAUGGAGCGAAUAGACUAGUCUGUCGUCUAAGCAAUUCUCGUUUGUUUUACCGUCCACAAAACUUGUUAGACCGAUUAGCACUUUUCACAACUUUGAGUAGACACAACAUUGAAACCGUAGGGAAAUUUGACUCUAAUUACUUCGGUAGUUAGGUUAUUUUAGAGCGCGUAUUACAAGCAUGUUAAGGAGGAAUGAUCUUGGACACGUACUUGGCAUUAGUCAUGGUAAAUGAAUGAACGAUAUACGCAAAUUCGUUGAAAAUCGAAAAGGGGCUAAAACCGGGUGAAAAUCGGACUUCCCAAGCUCAAAACUCAAGCAAUCUUGAUGCAACUUGGUGGGUGAGAGAUGUAUGGCGGUCUCCAAUCGUCAUACACCUAGGCGUUGGCAACUCUAAACCGGUGGCGAAGGAGGUGGAGGAGUCUUGGUGUUUUGGGUAGAGUAAAAUGCGACUACGAGAUGAAAUUCAAGUUAUUACACCGGAUGGGUCUUGGUGUUUUGGGUGGAGAAGUCUUGGUGUUUUGGGUGGAGGAGUCUUGGUGUUUUGGUUUGUCCUAUUUUUUGGAUUUUUAACACUAAUGACUCAAAAUGUGUACUUGAGUCAAUCAUGACACAAUGAAAAGGGACUCGAUUCUCAACUACACAUUAAUAAUCAUGCAAUCUGACUACAAAAUAAAAUAAAAAUUAACUCUAUACAUGAAUUUUCUCCUUAGAAAUACAUUAUUUUUAAUAUCUUUGAGCUAAAUAAUAUGUGGCCUUUUACGCUGUUAUGUCGAGGUAGUGAACCUCGACUCCAACCGGGGGCAUGGAAGAUUUAGCAUAUUUCCACUUCUGGCAGGGAAUAGCUAACAAGGCGGUAUACAUAAAAGGCUUACAUAAAAGCAAGCUUAUUAUUGAUGACACGUGCAUGGAAGGAUGGAUGCCAGGAUACUAGAAAUCAAAGACCAGAAAAGACACCACAGAUCGUUGACAGAAAAAAAAAAGGAAAUUUAGGCAGUCUGGCGAGCAAGAGGCGACAGUAAUUAAUUAGUAGGAAUAAUUAAGAGUGGGUCUGAAUUCCAUGGUGUUCACUUCCAUCCCUUGAACUUUCCACCGUGACCAUGCUGACCGUACAUGCCACCAUGUUUCCCGAACUUGCCAUGCUUGAACUUUCCGUGACCGUAGCCUCCUCCAUGUCCAUAAGCUCCAUGGCCGUAGCCUCCAUGAGUAUGACCGUAGCCUCCACCGCCAUGCGAAGCGUGGUGAGGAGCACCAUAUGCUCCAGCUGUUCCCGCAAUCAUUGC
rnacentral:lncRNA from 1 species